GUGCCAGCCGCCGCGGUAAUACCGGCAGCCCGAGUGAUGGCCGAUCUUAUUGGGCCUAAAGCGUCCGUAGCUGGCUGCGCAAGUCCGUCGGGAAAUCCACUCGCCCAACGAGUGGGCGUCCGACGGAAACUGUCUGGCUUGGGGCCGGAGGACUCGAGGGGUACGUCCGGGGUAGGAGUGAAAUCCCGUAAUCCUGGACGGACCACCGGUGGCGAAAGCGCCUCGAGAGGACGGACCCGACGGUGAGGAACGAAAGCCAGGGUCUCGAACCGGAUUAGAUACCCGAGUAGUCC
rnacentral:rRNA from 1 species